GGAUCUGGGGCUAGCCCUUCAUCAGAAAGCUCGUCAUCAGGGUCCAUUAUGUAUUCUUCAAUACGUGUAUCUUUUCCAACCCCCAAACCUUCAACUAGAAGAGCCAUUUCCCCCCUAAACCCAGGUAACCAACAAGUUUCUACAGGACUUCUUUAGGGCACCCACGCCGCCGAUUCUGCCUGGCGCUACUGCCCCUGAAGCGCACAUGGCAAGGAAGACAAGAGUCCCUGAAGAAGGUGCAAGCAUGGAAAUUCCAACACGAUGUCGUCGAUCCCAUCGUUCUUCUAACACAACCACGGGGACCCUACCACAAGAGGUUCUUGCAGCCCUGACGUCUGCCUUCAACCUCGAUGGGUCGGCGAAGGAGAACUUCGAGGAUGCUUUGCUUGCGAUGGUAGAGGAAGGAAUUGUGGAUCUACAAGAUGGCCUUGGUAGCCUGCGCAUUGAUGAACUGCAUGCGACUGCGUGAUCCAGCGACCUGCGACUAAGGGCCUUUUCCUCUAAUUCAUGUUUUCAUCAGACCUCGAUCCUUUGCCUCAUUUGUGUGUCGAGGUUUCAGUUUGUUGCAUGUGCUCGAUGUAUGUUUUGGACAUCUUAAGUGUGGCUCUUUUGUCUGUCUCGCGCCAGCAAUGCCAAAACGUGCUUGUUUCAAUGA